AGUCUAUUGGCCCUGACUUGAGGCGUGCAGAGAUGACGUAGCUUGAGGCGUGCAGAGAUGACGUAGAGGGGAACCGUUUUGGACGUUUGUUUUGUUCGUUAAUCAAAACAUCUUUCCUUUUUGGUGCCAUUGUUCAGAAGAGUUGUUCAAAAGGUCCUGAUACCGCAGGUCCAAAGGAAAACAGCUAAUUGAGAAAAUGCCGCCUCUUGAAACGAGUAUAGCGGUGGAAACAGAAGAGAUAGCAAGGAUUAAGUAUAUCGCACCAGAGCUUAAAGACCUAUGCUUAAUGAUAAAAAUUGCUCUUGUCGGAGCACUUGAAAAGUGUGAGGGAGCUGAGAGAACAGAAAUGUUCAAGUCUGAUGGGGCACAAAAUCGAAUUACUGAAGUGAACGCAAAACGAGAAAUUUUCACAGCAUGCAGGAAAAAAAAAAAAAAAAAACAGAAAAA